CUGCGCCGGGCCGUGAGGGGCCGCCUGACCCCGCCGCUCCCGUGCGGGCCAUGGCGAAGGGGCUGUGCCUCAAUGGGCGCAAGCGGCCCGGCGAAGCCGCGGAGGGGCCGCGGGCGGCGCGGAAGAGGCGGAAAGCAGAUGGCGGCGGCCCGGGCCUGGGCCGCGAGGAAAAGUCGUGUCAUUUGUCAGCAGCUCUGCUUGGCGAGGACUCCGAAAUCAGCCAGGACCACCUGUAUGAGCUGCUGAAAUAUGCAGCUCUGGGGAAAUGCCACAGUGCAGCACAGCCCAGCUGGUGCCAUAUUUAUCACCAAAGCCACCUGGCUGGGGUUGUGGUUGUUGUUCUACAUGAAAUGAGCCAACUCCAUUUCUACAGAUUCUAUUUACAGUUCAAGCACCUCAGGAAAGUGUUCCGGCACAGAUUCACACUAGCACCUUCCGAUAACUUCCCAGUCAGCCUGUAUGGAGAAAGAACAAACCUGAAACCUCAAAACACUCCACAAGGUUUGACUUCCACCAGCAGUGAAUGCAUUGUUAAAAGCUCAGACUUGCAAUGUGAUCCCAUCAUUCAGAGAUAUGGAGAAAAAAAAAAAGGCCUUACAAGCUAUACUCUAACUUUAGAAGAGCAGAAAAGAAAUGAUUAUCCCAUAGAAGGUUCCCCUGGAUGCAAAGGCUACAUCUCCACAGAGUGUGAUGAGCAGAGGACAGACAGCAGCCCUCUCUUUGGUCUGGAUUGUGAAAUGUGCCUGACUGCAAAAGGGAAUGAAGUCAUCCGUGUGUCUUUGGUGGAUGCACAGGGUCAGUGCCUCCUGAAUGAGCUGGUCAAACCUGAGAGCACAGUGGUGAACUACCGCACCAGAUUCUCAGGAAUCACAAAGAAGAUGCUUCUUCCAGUGAAGACAAGACUGUCAGACAUCCAAACCAGGCUAAAAAAAAUGCUUCCCCAUGAUGCAGUGUUGGUGGGUCAUUCUUUAAAUUCUGAUCUUCAGGCUUUGGAAAUGAUCCACCCCAGUGUUAUUGAUACUUCACUGCUUUUUGCCAGAAGUGAAGGUCGAAGAUUUAAGCUGAAAUUUCUAGCCAAAGCUGUUUUAGGGAAGGAGAUCCAGUGUGAACAGAAACUUGGGCAUGAUCCUACAGAAGAUGCUAGAGCUGCAUUGGAAUUAGCUCAAUUCUUCAUUGAGCAAGGACCAACAAAGGUAGCAGAACUAAACUUGGAGAUGCUUCUGACAGCUGAAAAACUGGCUGAGGUCUCACAGAACAAAGCUGCUCUACAGCCACAAGGAUGUGGGUUCCAGAAACAGCUGAGUGAGCCUCCACCAUUUUCCAAACCAUGUUUUUUAGAUUGUCUGCAGGAGACUGGCCAAAAACCCCUCCUUUUGGGCAGACAGGGAUUAGACUCUUCUGGCCUGUGUCAGAGUAACCUGAGCACUUCAAACAAACAGAUUCUUCAGAGAGCCUUGGAAGAUGUUCCUCUGUCCAAAUUCAGUAUCAUUGGGUUCAGUUUGGGUCCAGAGUAUCUUGCAUCUCACCUUCAUGCUGGACUUUAUGAAAAGGUGAGAAGCAAGCUGACUGACAUGCUGACAAUUUACGCAGGUCCUUUUGACGAAAACUUUUGCAUGAAGUCUGUGAAGAAGGAAUUUGGGAGGUGUGGACCAAUCCAGUCCCUUACAGUGGUAACUGAAACAUUCCAGCCAUAUGUCUGUAUCCAGUAUGAAGUGCUGGAAGCUGCCCAGCUUGCUGUGGAAAGCCUGAAUGGAGCUGAGGUAGCAGGAUCCUGCAUUAAGGUCCAGAGACCAGUCACUGCAGCAAUGCUGGACUGCAAUGUUCUGAUUAAGGAAUUAGAACUGGAUGUAGAAAAUGAAGGUGUGAUUUAUGUGGCUGGUCUAAAGAAGUCAUUAACAGAGACAGACUUGCAAGAAGAAUUCAGCCAGUUGAAAGACCUGGAAACACUGUUCCUGCCAAAGGAUCUUCAGAGUGGAAAGCACAGGAACUGCUGUUUCCUCAGUGCCAAGGAGGGCAGGAACAGCAUUGCCAAAGCAUGUUCCCUUCUCUAUGCAUUUCAGAAUUCCAGAAAACCCAGAGUGCUGUGGAUGCCCUUGAAGCUAUAAAUGGAUGGACCAUGAAGGGUAGCAAGCUAAGAAGCAGGAAUGCCCUUGCUCCAGGUCACCUCUGGAGGUGGAUUUGGCAAAUGAAUCACAGCAAUGGGAAACAAGGAAAACAUAUCUUCUACGAGAAAAUGGAGCAGCUGUCUGACUCUGAGCAGGAUCUAAGGAAAAAGGUGAAGAAGUUAGACAACCAUAUCAAAAAGCUUUAUAGAAGCCUGCAAAGUAACACCCUGUGUGUUGUUCUCUUUCCUGGAGUGAACAGCACAAAUGGAUCACAAUCUGGCCUUGGUCUGAUGGGAAUAAAAGAUGAUGAAGGGAGGAGUGCUUGUUAAACUGCCAAGUUUUUAAGCAAAGUCUUUUGUUAAGAUAUUUUUAAUUACUUUAAAUAUUGAUGUCUUUGUAAAGAUCUCUUACCAGAAGAACAAUAGGCUUUCACUCUGUAUCUUCUACAACAUCUAAAAAUAAAAGCCAUUCAAAGUGUCUUAAAACACAAAA